CAGUAGCCACGGUAAUACGGAGGAUCCAAGCGUUAUCCGGAUUUAUUGGGUUUAAAGGGUGCGUAGGCGGCCUAUUGAGUCAGGGGUGAAAGACGGUAGCUCAACUAUCGCAGUGCCUUUGAUACUGAUAGGCUUGAAUGUACUUGAAGUGGGCGGAAUGUGACAAGUAGCGGUGAAAUGCAUAGAUAUGUCACAGAACACCGAUUGCGAAGGCAGCUCACUAAAGUAUGAUUGACGCUGAGGCGCGAAAGCGUGGGGAGCAAAUGGGAUUAGAUACCCCCGUAGUCCCUGUCUCUUAUAA
rnacentral:rRNA from 1 species